GAACUGGAGAGUGUUAUGCUAAGUGAAAUAAGCCAUACAGAGAAAGACAGAUACCAUAUGACUUCACUCCUGUGAGGACUUUAAGGCACAGAACAGACGAACCCAAAGGAAGGGAAGCAAAAAUAAU